AAGUGCUAGGGUUGCGAGUGGCACCAGAGAGGUCCCCUUGUCCCGGGGUCCAUUUGAGGGUGAGCGUGUUGGUGCCGAGCUGUUUUUUUGUUUUGUUUUGCUUUGUGUUUUUGAGACCGAGUCUCGUUCUGUCGCCCAGGCUGGAAUGCAGUGGUGUGAUCUUGGCUCACCGCAACCUCCACCUUCCGGGUUCAAGUGAAUCUCCUGCCUCAGCCUCCUGAGUAGCUGGGAUUACAGGCACCCGCCACCACGACCAGCUAAUUUUUGUAUUUUUAGUAGAGACAGGUUUUCACCAUGUUGGCCAGGAUGGUCUCAAUCUCCUGACCUCAGGCGAUCUGCCUGCCUCAGCUUCCCAAAGUGCUGGGAUUACAGGUGUGAGCCACUGCACCCAACCAGUGCUGAGCUGUUUUGACAACUCGGACCCCGGGUCCUCUGUGGGUAGGAAAAUCAGCUCCCUCUUUGCUCCUCUGGGGCAGCUGCACCUCGGGCCAGCUUCCUGCCUGUCUCCCUGCCAGCACUGCUGGGUCGCCGUCCCCAAACGCACAGCCGGUGCCCUGUGCCUAUUACCUGCCAGCCUGUCUGUUUCCUUCCAGCUAGAAGGUCUUCAGUUUCCAGAAAAGCCAAAGCAUCUUUGGACCUACGUAGGGAAGGACCUGCCUGUGACCUUUGCCCUGUCCUGGAGGGUCCAGCUUUGGGCUGAAUGGCAGCACCCACGCUGGGCCGUCUGGUGCUGACCCACCUGCUGGUGGCCCUUUUUGGCAUGGGCUCCUGGGCUGCUGUGAAUGGGAUCUGGGUAGAGCUGCCUGUCGUGGUAAAAGACCUUCCAGAGGGUUGGAGCCUCCCCUCAUACCUCUCUGUGGUUGUGGCGCUGGGAAACCUGGGUCUGCUGGUGGUGACCCUGUGGAGGCGGCUGGCCCCGGGCAAGGGCGAGCAGGUCCCCAUCCAGGUGGUACAGGUGCUGAGUGUAGUGGGCACAGCCCUGCUGGCCCCUCUGUGGCACCACGUCGCCCCAGUAGCAGGGCAGCUCCACUCUGUGGCCUUCCUAACUCUGGCCUUGGUGUUGGCAAUGGCCUGUUGUACCUCUAACGUCACUUUCCUGCCCUUCCUGAGCCACCUGCCACUCCCUUUCUUACGGUCUUUCUUCCUGGGUCAGGGUCUCAGUGCCCUGCUGCCCUGUGUGCUGGCCCUAGUGCAAGGUGUGGGCCGCCUCGAGUGCCCGCCAGCGCCCACCAAUGGCACCUUUGGGCCUCCCCUCGACUUCCCUGAGCGUUUUCCUGCCAGCACCUUCUUCUGGGCACUGACUGCCCUUCUGGUCACUUCAGCUGCCGCCUUCCAGGGUCUCCUGUUGCUGUUGCCAUCACUACCCUCUGUAACCACAGGGGGCUCAGGGCCUGAACUUCAGUUGGGGUCCCCAGGAGCAGAGGAGGAAGAGAAGGAGGAAGAAGAGGCUUUGCCAUUGCAGGAGCCACCGAGCCAGGCAGCAGGCACCAUCCCUGGCCCAGACCCUGAGGCCCAUCAGCUGUUCUCAGCCCAUGGUGCCUUCCUGCUGGGCCUGAUGGCCUUCACCAGUGCCCUGACCAAUGGCGUGCUGCCUUCUGUGCAGAGCUUUUCCUGUUUGCCCUAUGGGCGCCUGGCCUACCACCUGGCUGUGGUGCUGGGCAGUGCCGCCAACCCCCUUGCCUGCUUCCUGGCCAUGGGCGUGCUGUGCAGGUGCAAAAGGGGCCCCAGGCUUGGUGGGUGGAACUUAAGGUUGGGGUCCAGGUCCCAGAACAGCCAGCCCUGAGUCUCUGCUCAUCCCCAACAGGUCCCUGGCAGGGCUGGUUGGUCUUUCUCUGCUGGGCAUACUCUUUGGGGCCUAUCUGAUGGCACUGGCAAUCCUGAGCCCCUGCCCACCCCUGGUGGGCACCACUGCAGGGGUGGUCCUUGUGGUGCUGUCGUGGGUGCUGUGUCUGUGUGUGUUCUCAUACGUGAAGGUGGCUGCAAGCUCUCUGCUGCAUGGUGGGGGUCAGCCGGCAUUGCUGGCAGCUGGUGUGGCCAUCCAAGUGGGCUCCCUGCUUGGUGCCGGUGCCAUGUUCCCUCCCACCAGCAUCUACCACGUGUUUCAAAGCAGAAAGGACUGUGUAGACCCCUGUGGCCCCUGAGCCUGGGCAGGUGGGGACCCAACUCCACCCCACCUGUCUUCAUCGUGAGGCUGCCGCAGUGCCUGACUACUUGUGGCCCAGGCAGGCUUCCCCCAACACAGGAAUGCUCAUGGACGCCUGCACACUCCACAGAAGACGCUAGCAUGUCAGGCCAGGGUGGGCACCAAAGACCAGGCCCGGAGCCAGGGGACAGGCCGGGGCUGUGGGCUUGGCCCCAGGGCCUGAGAUCUUUGUGGGAUUU
rnacentral:sRNA from 1 species